GGACUGAGACACGGCCCAAACUCCUACGGGAGGCAGCAGUGGGGAAUAUUGCACAAUGGGCGAAAGCCUGAUGCAGCGACGCCGCGUGAGUGAAGAAGUAUUUCGGUAUGUAAAGCUCUAUCAGCAGGGAAGAAAAUGACGGUACCUGACUAAGAAGCCCCGGCUAACUACGUGCCAGCAGCCGCGGUAAUACGUAGGGGGCAAGCGUUAUCCGGAUUUACUGGGUGUAAAGGGAGCGUAGACGGCGAAGCAAGUCUGAAGUGAAAACCCAGGGCUCAACCCUGGGAGUGCUUUGGAAACUGUUUUGCUAGAGUGUCGGAGAGGUAAGUGGAAUUCCUAGUGUAGCGGUGAAAUGCGUAGAUAUUAGGAGGAACACCAGUGGCGAAGGCGGCUUACUGGACUGUAACUGACGUUGAGGCUCGAAAGCGUGGGGAGCAAACAGGAUUAGAUACCUGGUAGUCCACGCCGUAAACGAUGAGUGCUAGGUGUUGGGGGGCAAAGCCCUUCGGUGCCGUCGCAAACGCAAUAAGCACUCCACCUGGGGAGUACGUUCGCAAGAAUGAAACUCAAAGGAAUUGACGGGGACCCGCACAAGCGGUGGAGCAUGUGGUUUAAUUCGAAGCAACGCGAAGAACCUUACCAAGUCUUGACAUCCUCUUGACCGGCGUGUAACGGCGCCUUCCCUUCGGGGCAAGAGAGACAGGUGGUGCAUGGUUGUCGUCAGCUCGUGUCGUGAGAUGUUGGGUUAAGUCCCGCAACGAGCGCAACCCUUAUCCUUAGUAGCCAGCAGGUAGAGCUGGGCACUCUAGGGAGACUGCCAGGGAUAACCUGGAGGAAGGUGGGGAUGACGUCAAAUCAUCAUGCCCCUUAUGAUUUGGGCUACACACGUGCUACAAUGGCGUAAACAAAGGGAAGCGAGACAGUGAUGCGGAGCAAAUCCCAAAAAUAACGUCCCAGUUCGGACUGUAGUCUGCAACCCGACUACACGAAGCUGGAAUCGCUAGUAAUCGCGAAUCAGAAUGUCGCGGUGAAUACGUUCCCGGGUCUUGUACACACCGCCCGUCACACCAUGGGAGUCAGCAACGCCCGAAGUCAGUGACCCAACCGAAAGGAGGGAGCUGCCGAAGGCGGGGCAGGUAACUGGGGUGAAGUCGUAACAAGGUAGCCGUAUCGGAAGGUGCGGCUG
rnacentral:rRNA from 1 species